rnacentral:rRNA from 1 species
UAGGGAAUCUUCGGCAAUGGACGGAAGUCUGACCGAGCAACGCCGCGUGAGUGAAGAAGGUUUUCGGAUUGUAAAGCUCUGUUGUUAGAGAAGAACGUUGGUAGGAGUGGAAAAUCUACCAAGUGACGGUAACUAACCAGAAAGGGACGGCUAACUACGUGCCAGCAGCCGCGGUAAUACGUAGGUCCCGAGCGUUGUCCGGAUUUAUUGGGCGUAAAGCGAGCGCAGGCGGUUCUUUAAGUCUGAAGUUAAAGGCAGUGGCUUAACCAUUGUACGCUUUGGAAACUGGAGGACUUGAGUGCAGAAGGGGAGGGUGGAAUUCCAUGUGUAGCGGUGAAAUGCGUAGAUAUAUGGAGGAACACCGGUGGCGAAAGCGGCUCUCUGGUCUGUAACUGACGCUGAGGCUCGAAAGCGUGGGGAGCAAACAGG